rnacentral:rRNA from 1 species
UACGUAGGGUGCAAGCGUUAAUCGGAAUUACUGGGCGUAAAGCGUGCGCAGGCGGUUAUGUAAGACAGGUGUGAAAUCCCCGGGCUCAACCUGGGAACUGCAUUUGUGACUGCAUGGCUAGAGUGCGGCAGAGGGGGAUGGAAUUCCGCGUGUAGCAGUGAAAUGCGCAGAUAUCAGGAGGAACACCAAUGGCGAAGGCAGCUCACUGGGACGGUAUUGACGCUGGAGACGCGAAAGCCGUGGGGAGCAAACAGG